CCGGAGGUCAUUGCUAAUGGAGUCCGAUUUAGCCAUGCUAGUUGCACGGGUUUGGACCCGUAGCAGAUAGCUCAGUAACACGUGGCCAAACUACCCUCUGGAUCAGGACAACCUCGGGAAACUGAGGCUAAUCCUGAAUAGCGUUCCCACCCUGGAGUGGGGGGAACGUGAAAUGCUCCGGCGCCAGAGGAUGUGGCUGCGGCCGAUUAGGUAGACGGUGGGGUAACGGCCCACCGUGCCAGUAAUCGGUACGGGUUGUGAGAGCAAGAGCCCGGAGACGGUAUCUGAGACAAGAUACCGGGCCCUACGGGGCGCAGCAGGCGCGAAACCUUUACACUGCACGCCAGUGCGAUAAGGGGACUCCAGGUGCGAGGGCAUAUCGUCCUCGCUUUUCUGUACCGUAAGGUGGUACAGGGAAUAAGGGCUGGGCAAGACCGGUGCCCAGCCGCCGCGGUAAUACCGGCAGCCCGAGUGAUGACCGCUAUUAUUGGGCCUAAAGCGUCCGUAGCUGGCCAGGCAAGUCCAUCGGGAAAUCCGCGUGCCCAACGCGCGGGCGUCCGGUGGAACCUGCCUGGCUUGGGACCGGAAGACCUGAGGGGUACGUCCGGGGUAGGAGUGAAAUCCCGUAAUCCUGGACGGACCACCGGUGGCGAAAGCGCCUCAGGAAGACGGAUCCGACGGUGAGGGACGAAAGCUCGGGUCACGAACCGGAUUAGAUACCCGGGUAGUCCGAGCUGUAAACGAUGUCUGCUAGGUGUGGCACAGGCUACGAGCCUGUGCUGUGCCGUAGGGAAGCCGUGAAGCAGACCGCCUGGGAAGUACGUCCGCAAGGAUGAAACUUAAAGGAAUUGGCGGGGGAGCACUACAACCGGAGGAGCCUGCGGUUUAAUUGGACUCAACGCCGGACAUCUCACCAGCAUCGACAGCAGGAGUGACGGUCAGGUUGAUGACCUUACCAGA
rnacentral:rRNA from 1 species